UCCAGCUCUCUCGCCCUCAGUCUGAGGGUUUGCAGGAGGACUUUGGUGACCCAGGACCAUCCCUCCAUCUGAAGAUCCUUAAUCGCGUCUGCCAAGUGUCUUUUGUCCUGCAAGCUUCUAGAGACCACCUGCAUUCCGUGGCUUGUGGCCUCCGCCCCCCUCGAAGCCGCAGGCGUGCCACCUCCCUAUCCCCCUCUGUCUCUGUCCCUCCGUGCCACUCUUUUCUUACUCUGGCCCUCCUGCCUCCUUCUGAGAAGGAUCCUUGUGAUGUCAAGGGCGCCCACUGGAUAAUUCAGGGCCAUCCCUCCAUCUGAAGAUCCUUCAUCACAUCUGCAAAGCGCCUUUUGCCCUGCAAGAGACUCACCCAUCAGAGAACUAAAUUCCGCACAGGGCUAUAGAUUUGCAAAGCGCUUUUCUUACGUGCCAGGCACUGAGCAACAGCUUGUAAAACAUCUUUCAACGACUCCAUCAACAAUGAAUAAGUAAGAACACAAACUUGUGAAAUCAGCAAGCGUGACCAUCCCCAUUGUGGAGACAGGAGCCUGAGGCUCGGAGGAGCGGAGAGGUCACUCGACAAGGGACUGAGUCUUGGUCUCCUGGGUGCAGGAACUGUGCCCUUCGGCUCCGGGACAGUCCAGGCACACAGUGGGCGGGGGCACAGUGGGCGAGGGCCUCGUCUGCUCACUUAGAGAAGAAAGAAAGGAAAUAGAAGGUCAACCAGCUGCUGUGGCAGGGACAGGGGCCUCACCUGAGCCUCCUGGUGGUUUCCCACAGCCUCACGUGACCCUCGGAACGUCUCUGUCUCUCACACACACACACACACACACACACACACACACACGAGGUCGCUGGGGUUUCCUGCCAGGCCCCAGGGGACACACUCAGCUCUCACUGAGUUGCUGAAAGAGGCAGAGGGGCAUCCUGGGAGCACAGCCACCGCCAUGCCCUCCAGGAGCUCCAGGGGUCAGCUUCAUUGUCACUGUUUACCCCCCGUCCUAGACCCCUGGGGGGAGAAGAGCUCAAACCCCCAAACAGCCAGACAUAGGGGCUUUAAAACAAAGGGUCUUGGGGGGCACCUGAGUAGCUCAAUCGCUUAAGCAUCCAACUUCGGCUCAGGUCAUGAUCUCAUAGUUCCUGAGUUCGAGCCCUGCGUCGGGCUCUGUG